rnacentral:rRNA from 1 species
AGAGUUUGAUCAUGGCUCAGGACGAACGCUGGCGGCGUGCUUAACACAUGCAAGUGGAGCGACGAACCAGGGCUUGCCCUGGGGCAGAGCCGCGAACGGGUGAGUAACACGUGGGUUACCUGCCUCGAUGACCGGGACAACCCGAGGAAACUCGGGCUAAUACCGGAUGUGCCCGCAAGGGGAAAGGAAGCUUCGGCCUCCGCAUCGAGAUGGGCCCGCGGCCCAUUAGCUUGUUGGUGAGGUAACGGCUCACCAAGGCUUCGAUGGGUAGCUGGUCUGAGAGGACGAUCAGCCACACUGGGACUGAGACACGGCCCAGACUCCUACGGGAGGCAGCAGUGGGGAAUCUUGCGCAAUGCGCGAAAGCGUGACGCAGCAACGCCGCGUGGGGGAAGAAGGCUUUCGGGUUGUAAACCCCUUUCAGUUGGGACGAAGCUUCGGCGGUGAAUAGCCGACCGGAGUGACGGUACCUUCACAAGAAGCACCGGCUAACUACGUGCCAGCAGCCGCGGUAAUACGUAGGGUGCAAGCGUUGUCCGGAAUUAUUGGGCGUAAAGAGCGUGUAGGCGGCCCCAUUAGUCCGCUGUGAAAGUCCAGGGCUCAACCCUGGAAUGCCGGUGGAUACUGUGGGGCUAGAGUCCGGAAGGGGCGAGUGGAAUUCCUGGUGUAGCGGUGAAAUGCGCAGAUAUCAGGAGGAACACCAAUGGCGAAGGCAGCUCGCUGGGACGUGACUGACGCUGAGACGCGAAAGCGUGGGGAGCAAACAGGAUUAGAUACCCUAGUAGUCC